rnacentral:lncRNA from 1 species
UUCUACAUCUCUCUCAAAACUUUGUCAAACACCAAAUUAAAGCUUUUCUCCAGAAAUUAGCUCAUCUUUUUUAUUUUUUUAUUUCUAAGCUGUCCAAACAUAGAAUCUCUUUUCAAUUUUAAAGAUUAAUCACGUUUUCAUCCUCAAAUCCUCAAGAGGUCUUCACACAUUUUAGCUCGAUUUAGCUCCAUAGCUCGUCGAUUAUGUGAAAUUGAGGUGAGAUUCUGACUAUUUAUGAUUAAACUAAGUUAGUUGUUAUUUCAAUUCUAGAUUUGAAUGAUUUAAUCAAGAUCUCAAUAGAUCACUUGAUUUUAAGUUGAUUUUUGGCUUGAAAAUGGUAAACCUCUUAUUACUUGGUUAAGCUACUAUUUUAAAGUGAUUUCUAACUCAUUUUGAUCUAAUUAAAAGGUUUAUAUCCUUGAUUUAACAAAUCCUUAAAGAAUUUGCAUGAAUCAAAUGAUUUUUCUUAUUGAAAUUAUUAACGAACAUGAUUUUUCUGGAAAAAUUAGAUUGAUGUAAUUGAAUAAAAUUAAUGGUUUAAGUAUGCAAUUAAAUGAUAUUUAGGAUGUAUGAAGUUGAAAUCUAAGCUUAGAAAUGAGAUUUGAGUGGUUGAACACCUAUUUUGGCAAAACUAGUUAAGUUCUUGGUAUAGAGAUUUAGAGGUUGUGAUAUGUGAUUUUGAAAUUUAAUAUGUUUGUUGCUGUGAGUGAUGCCUUUUCAAUGUAUUUGACAUGUUUGUGAAGUAUCAAGUCAUUUGGGAGUCUCUACAAGCAUGGACAAAGGCACAUAAAAGCUUAUUUGAGCAUUGUAGAUGAAGUAAGAGCUAAGGUGAGUGGUUUGGAAUAUUGCAUUUAAACUCUAGUAAGCAGGUUAAGGUAAUACAUGUGAACCCUUGUUUAAUUAAUAUGCGAACCUGCUAUGUGUUGGUAUGUGAACCUUGUGUUAUUAACAUGCGAACCUUGCUAAAAGACCAUGUGAACCCUUAUCACUAGACAUGUGCGAACCCCUAUCAUCAGUCAUGUACGAACCCCUAUCACAUGGUACACACAAACCCUGUUAGGAUGUUAUGCGAAACCUAUAUGCUAUGUGACUGUAUGUCAUGUGUGAACCUAUGUUGUGUGAUUGCACGUGAUGUGCGAACCUGUGUUAUUUGACUGUAUGUGAUGUACGAACCUAUGCUUAAGUGAUAUGCAAACCUACGCUAAAGUGAUAUGCGAGCCUAUACUAAUUUGAUAUGCGAAUUGUGAUUAUGUGUGCAAGCUAUGUUGCAUGCAAACUAUAUUACUUAAAAACCAUGCUUUAUAGCAAUUUGUAUGAAAUGUGAGUAAUGUGAACUACGAAUUGUGAUAUUGCAAACUAUGAAUUGUGAAUUAUGUUAUAUUGUGUGAGCUCUACUUAAUUGUGAGCCUAAUAUAUUGAAUAUCGUGAAUAUGUUGGCAUUGUGACUGCAUGGAAUCAUUGGAUAUAGUUAGCAUGCCAUAAGAUUGUGAGUAAUCACCCUUAUUAUUGCGAUGGGAAUUGUGGCCCAGAGAUACGUUGGAGAGAUAAGGGAAUGUAGAGCAUAGCUCCAUUCACCAGAGAGAACGCAUGGAUCUAUGAGUAGAGGGUAAAGAGAGUGUUAGCAUUCAUGCUACACUUAUAUCGCAGACAACGCAGGGCCCUUUGAGUCAAAAGUGAGGAAUUAUGAGGAGAUCCGUUUAUCCAAUAUGUGGUGAUAGAGUCUAUUUAUAGGUGGUAAUAGAGUCCCCUAUAUGUUUCAUAAUCACAAAAAUGUCGAUUUAUCUAUAUUUGAAAUAUAUGAGUAUGAUGUAUUAUGAAAUAUUAUUUUUACGUGGUAUGAACUGAUAUUUUACGAGAACUACUUAUCUUAUGUAAAUUGCUUAGUCUAUGUGCACUGCUUAUUUAUGAGAACUGUAGUGUCAUGUGAGUCACUAUUUUAUGUGUACUCUAAUAAUAUGUGAAUUGUUAUUGUAUGCCUACCCUAACCUGAUUGUUGUGUUUAUUUGUACUAUGAUUGAGCACUCAUUGAGCUUCAAUAAGCUCACCCACUCUUUUAUAAUAUUACAGUGAUUUAGCUUGUGAAGAGGUGGGGAAGUGAGCCAUCCAAGUGAUCCAUAACGAGGCUAUACCUAGGUAUGUUGAUGUGUUCCCAAACCAAAUGAGGAAGGAAAUGUGGGACAAAAUUAUGGCAUUUAGAAUUAGAUCUAUUCAUAAUUGUUGGGUUGUAAUUGGACAUUAUGGAGUCUUUAAAUGGUUUAUUUUGAAACUUUUAUUACCGUUUUAGAUAGAUGAUUAAAUAAUGGUUUGUGAAUGCUUGAUGAAUGGUAUAAAUAAAUGUUCGACUAACUUGUAAGUGCAGGUUGAAGAGUCGUUGAACAUUACGUAAGAAUUAGAUGUUAUAAGUGUGUUUUAGAAAACAAUUGGAUGUUUAGUAUGCAUGAAUGUAAAAUUAGACAAGUUACGUAAAUUGUUAGUUUCCUGCAAACUAGUUAAAUGGUGAUUUUUGUACACGAUGUUUUAAUGAAUCUUUCUAAACAAGACUUUUAUAUAUAAAUCUACAAUACUAAGAUGCGAACCUGGUGGCAUCAUGUUAUGAUACAACUCGAAGUCAUCGAGAGUGGCCUAAGCUCGAGGGGCCUAAGUGCAAAAUGAAGCUUAAUUACAAGCUCAUUCAACUUACUAAGCAUGCAUGGCAAUUUAUUGCAAGCUGAACUUUAAUUUAAUUAAACUCAUCUUAGUUAAUAAUUGAGUUGCUAGACUUUAUUUUUUUAUUAAACUCAUUUUAGUUAAUUAAUUGUUGGAAUAAAUGCUUAUAUUAGUUUAUUUAAUUGCUUGAAUAACUUAUUGUUCAAUAUUUUUAUUUAUAGUUUAUUAAAUUAAGUGUUUACAGUUUAUUAAUUAAGCUUAUUAAGUUUAGUGUGUUUAAAUUUGUUUUAAUCUGUUUGUUAAUAAAUGCUUGUAGGUGACUAUUUAGUUGGAAUCAAUUAUGUUCAAGGGAUGUUACAAAGUAAUAAAUGCGACUAUUAAGCUGGAAUUGGUUACAUACAAGGGGUUGUUACAACAACAAAAGGAGAGCAAUAUGCAUCAUUAAAAUUCGGCAGCCUCUCUAUCUUCUCCAAGGAGCUGUUCAAGAAUAGCAAUGGACAAAGGAGUGAUUACAAAUUCCAUAACCGAUUGCCUCUUUAAGAACACUUCAUGGUCUGUUUGUGUGCCCAAAAAUACCAUGAAUGUUGUUGGUGUCUAUUCGGCUGUCCAAGGGAGAAUUUAAAGCUUAUCCUAAACUCUUUGGCUACUUAAGAAUGAAACCUAAGCAUUCAAGCUUAUUAAAUUAGCUGAAUUAGAACAUUAAAUCUUAUUGAUAGUUGCUUUUACUUAGGCCUAGAAUUUCAAGAGUUUGAGCUUAGUGAUUAAGUUUUAUUUUAACUCAUUAUUAGCUCAUUUAAGCUAAACAAUUGUGACUUUUUGGCUAGGCCUUAUCUAGCACUAUAAAUACUUGUAAUAAGCUCAUUGUAAGGGACUUUCUUCUCAUUUUUGAAUGUUUAUAACAUUUUUGAGUUUUUCAACUCU